rnacentral:tRNA from 1 species
GUGAGUGUAGCUCAGUUGGCAGAGCACUGGGUUGUGGCCCCAGUGGUCGUGGGUUCAAGUCCCAUCACUCACCCCA